rnacentral:rRNA from 1 species
GCGUCUGAUUAGCUAGUUGGUAAGGUAACGGCUUACCAAGGCGACGAUCAGUAGCCGACCUGAGAGGGUGAUCGGCCACAUUGGAACUGAGACACGGUCCAAACUCCUACGGGAGGCAGCAGUGGGGCAUAUUGCACAAUGGGCGAAAGCCUGAUGCAGCAACGCCGCGUGAGUGAUGAAGGCCUUCGGGUCGUAAAACUCUGUCCUCAAGGAAGAUAAUGACGGUACUUGAGGAGGAAGCCCCGGCUAACUACGUGCCAGCAGCCGCGGUAAUACGUAGGGGGCUAGCGUUAUCCGGAUUUACUGGCGUAAAGGGUGCGUAGGCGGUCUUUCAAGUCAGGAGUGAAAGGCUACGGCUCAACCGUAGUAAGCUCUUGAAACUGGGAG